AUACAGGAGGCUCAUGNCGGUACCGUAAGAAUAAGCACCGGCUAACUACGUGCCAGCAGCCGCGGUAAUACGUAGGGUGCAAGCGUUAAUCGGAAUUACUGGGCGUAAAGCGUGCGCAGGCGGUGAUGUAAGACAGUGGUGAAAUCCCCGGGCUCAACNUGGGAACUGCNAUUGUGACUGCAUNGCUAGAGUACGGUAGAGGGGGGUGGAAUUCCGCGUGUAGCAGUGANAUGCGUAGAUAUGCGGAGGAACA
rnacentral:rRNA from 1 species